rnacentral:misc_RNA from 1 species
AGAUAGACAACAACACAGCAUACUGUUCCUCAAUUUAAACAAUAACCUCAAGACUACUGUUUUUCUGUGCUUUUCACCAACUCUCAAAGCUCAGUGAAUGAAAAUCGCAGAAACAAAACCCAAAUUGAGUAUAAUUAAAAACCCAGAGAGAUUUUUGAAUUUUUUUGAUGGUAAGAGAGUAAAAGCAGAGGGAAUUAUAGAGAGAGAGGAGAGAAG